UACGGAGGGGACUAGCGUUGUUCGGAAUUACUGGGCGUAAAGCGCACGUAGGCGGAUUUGUAAGUCAGGGGUGAAAUCCCGGGGCUCAACCUCGGAACUGCCUUUGAUACUGCAAAUCUCGAGUCCGGAAGAGGUGAGUGGAAUUCCUAGUGUAGAGGUGAAAUUCGUAGAUAUCGAGAGGAACACCGGUGGCGAAGGCGGCUUCCUGGACAGUUACUGACGCUGAGACGCGAAAGCGUGGGGAGCAAACAGG
rnacentral:rRNA from 1 species